UGGGGGAAUAUUGGACAAUGGGCGCAAGCCUGAUCCAGCCAUGCCGCGUGAGUGAUGAAGGCCCUAGGGUUGUAAAGCUCUUUCACCGGUGAAGAUAAUGACGGUAACCGGAGAAGAAGCCCCGGCUAACUUCGUGCCAGCAGCCGCGGUAAUACGAAGGGGGCUAGCGUUGUUCGGAUUUACUGGGCGUAAAGCGCACGUAGGCGGACUUUUAAGUCAGGGGUGAAAUCCCGGGGCUCAACCCCGGAACUGCCUUUGAUACUGGAAAGUCUUGAGUAUGGUAGAGGUGAGUGAAUUCCGAGUGUAGAGGUGAAAAUUCGUAGAUAUUCGGAGGAACACCAGUGGCGAAGGCGGCUCACUGGACCAUUACUGACGCUGAGGUGCGAAAAGCGUGGGGAGCAAAACAGGAUUAGAUACCCUGGUAGUCCACGCCGUAAACGAUGAAUGUUAGCCGUUGGGGAGUUUACUCUUCGGUGGCGCAGCUAACGCAUUAAACA
rnacentral:rRNA from 1 species